rnacentral:rRNA from 2 species
UACGGAAGGUUCAGGCGUUAUCCGGAUUUAUUGGGUUUAAAGGGAGCGCAGGCGGACCUUUAAGUCAGCUGUGAAAUACGGCGGCUCAACCGUCGAACUGCAGUUGAUACUGGAGGUCUUGAGUGCACACAGGGAUACUGGAAUUCAUGGUGUAGCGGUGAAAUGCUCAGAUAUCAUGAAGAACUCCGAUCGCGAAGGCAGGUAUCCGGGGUGCAACUGACGCUGAGGCUCGAAAGUGCGGGUAUCAAACAGG